CGGGGCGGAAGUGACGCACUCGGGCCGGUGAGGCGGCUGAGGGAACCGCUGGUGGUGCUGCCCGCCGUCGCCGCCCCUCCGUCUCCUCGUCCCCGUCUGGGCCCGGCCCUCUUGGGUGCCUGACGCCGCCGCCGCCGCCGCGGCCUCGCCUUUCCUUCCCUUUCCCUCCGAGGCCCUCCCGCCAUGUCUGCCCCCGGAGGAACCGGCGGCGAGUUCGGGAACCCGCUGCGCAAGUUCAAGUUGGUCUUCCUGGGCGAGCAGAGCGUUGGAAAGACCUCCUUGAUUACCAGAUUCAUGUACGACAGUUUUGACAACACUUACCAAGCGACAAUUGGAAUUGAUUUCCUUUCAAAGACCAUGUAUUUAGAAGACCGCACGCAGGUCCGACUUCAGCUUUGGGACACGGCAGGCCAGGAGCGGUUUCGUAGCCUCAUCCCCAGCUACAUCCGUGACUCAACUAUUGCAGUAGUAGUCUAUGACAUCACAAACCUAAAUUCCUUCCAGCAAACCUCCAAAUGGAUUGACGAUGUGCGAACAGAGAGGGGAAGUGAUGUCAUCAUCAUGCUAGUGGGAAAUAAGACUGACCUCGCAGACAAAAGGCAAAUUACUACGGAGGAAGGGGAGCAGAGAGCCAAAGAACUGAGUGUGAUGUUCAUUGAGACCAGCGCCAAGACUGGCUAUAAUGUGAAACAGCUUUUCCGCCGCGUGGCUGCAGCGUUGCCUGGUAUGGAUAGCACUCCCGAGAAGAGCAAAGAUGACAUGAUUGAUAUCAAACUAGAGAAACCUCCUGAGCAGCCGGUAAUGGAGAGCGGGUGCUCCUGCUAAGAGGAUCUGCGGUGUGGCGGCCCCCUUCCCGAUCGGCCGGUCCCGUCUCGCCGGAGAGCAUCACUUUCCCAUUGACUGAAAGGAACUUAACUUUUCCGAGGGCUGAGAAACCCGGUCUUAAGUAACGAGAUUGAGCCCCACCCCGUACUGUGAACAGCCUUGGCUGCUCCCUUCUACUGCAUGGUGUGAACCCUCAACUGUGUCCUGUCCUUUGUUGGUUGUUGCACUCUUGGUGCUGGUGGCACCUUUAUCCUAGGUUUCCUCUCUUGGGCGUGAGCACCUCGCUGUGUGAUGCUGUGAAGCAAAAAGGGAGGAUUUAGCAAAAUGCUUUUCAACCUCCAGCAUGGGCUGGAGUGUCGUCUGUCUCCUCAUUGCUGCCUUUAUCUUCCUUCUUGAGGCUGCUUCUUGACGUUGGUUUGGCCCAUCCUUGCCCUGGGAGAGGCGGGCACCCUCUCAUGCUGACCUCCUGCCUCGUGGCCUCAGCCACCUGCUCCCAUCCCUGUUCCAUUGUCUUUCCUCGAGGAGAGAAGGGAGGGGAGGACGUAGCUCCAAGCACGUGCCUCAUGAGACGUGUUGCGCUUUAUCUCUACAUGGUAGCUAGCUGAUUCUUAGGUGGCGAUUACCUACCCUUUUCCCAGAAAGGUGGUGCUCCUGAAAUAGUUGGAAUAUAGAAGGGAAGAAUAAGCAAAAUCGAAAUGAGUGACUCCAUUGAUUGUGGAGUCUUAAUUAGAAAGCAGAGCACUGGGAUGUUCUCCUGUCCUUUCUCCAUUUCAGAUUCCUUCUCUGUCCUCACACCCAUCCAUUUGACGCGUUCUCUGUUUAGGGAAGUUAUGCACUGCAUAGUUGCUAGCUUAAUUAAAACGGGCAUGUGUACCAGGUUCAGACCAACACCAUGAGCCCCCAUGUUGUAUAAUUUAUCACUUGGAGACCAUGUUAAGCCAAGUUCUUUCUGUCUACCUUCAUGCCUUGUAGUCCUAAUUUCCAGCUUUAUAGAUGGCAAUGGAUGGCAUGUUCAUGCUAUCACCGAGUCCGUGGCUUUGCUAUAGGAACGAACCUUCUCUGUAUUCAGUGUUUUUCUUUCCCUGGGAUGAUAGCCUGACCUUGGAGAACCUCCAGUGGGGGGGUGGUUCAGCAUCACCCCUUGAACUGUUUCAGCUGCUGUAAUAUGAAGCACGAGGCAGGAUCCCGGUGUCCUAGUCUGACUCUUCAUUUGUUUUAGAGCUUAUUAUUGACCCUUCACCAUUUUUGUGCAGGUUAUGACACAAGGGGAAAUGUUGGCUUGUUCUUUAUUUGAAAAAUAACCGGUGUCUCAAAAGUGUUUCGAGAACAAAAACUGCUGUAAGCUCUGUUGAGCGUUAGACUCAGCCCAAAAUGUGUUUUCAGAUAAAUAUUUCCCUCUGCUAAUGGAGCCAAGCUUUGAAAGGCAUGUAGGUGGUCAGAGUGACUUGGGUAGUUGUUUCUGGGGCUGGAAGCAUAGCCCAGUUUGUUCAGCUGGUGGCUGCUUGUCUGUCUUAAAAGCCAAAAUGCAGAAUCCUUAACAGCUCAUCUGUUCCUCUGCUGCUGAGACUUUGUAUAGAGAACCUUUCUGUUUACUUCUGUGUAUGCAUGGGAUAUCACUCUUUCUCAGUUAGAGGUGCUUCGAAGCAUGGUCUGUGAGGCCCUAGCCUUCGGCCACCAGCUGCCCUCAAAAUUAUGGGCUAUAAAGCCACCAUAAUAGCAGUUUGGGCAAGUCAGUUGCAUUAUUCUGUCAACGAUGUUGAGAUCUCGACAGAGGAAAAACAGGAUUUUUUCCAUGCAUCCUUUGUUUAGGGUCUCCUUUGGAGUGAAAGGGUAGUCCUUUUCUUACAGGGAAAACACUGGAGUUCCUGCUUCAUUGCUUUGUUCAGCUACACUUACUUAGCUUGAAAUGCUCCUAACCGGUGCCUGAGGUGUGUUUGGGGCAGACAUGAACACAAACCGCUGGGUCAGCGGGUGUUCAUUUCCUGGCCGAAGAGCUGGCCCGCCCCCCUCCAGCAGGUGAAGAGAAAUCUGCCCAUAGACAUAGCUUAGACAUGCUCCUUUUCUCAUGGACAUUCUUUGUUCAAUGCCACACGUGCUUGUUCCAGGAGGGGCAGACAGUUGUGCCUCAACUCGGGGUGUGUUAAGAUGGCUUUUCUUUACAAAAUGUGCUGCUGUUUCCAACUCCAGGCCCUGCACGUUCUUCUCCCCACAGAGCGCUGAGGUUCAAAGCAUUUUCUUCCCUCCCACCCUGUUCCUAGUUUACUAGGGCUCUAGACGGUAUUUCCAACAAAUUCCUUAUGUCUUACAGACAAAAUUCUGUCAGUAUAGCUUUUAACCUUUCAGACAUAAUAACCUGUUAUGGAAUUGGAUGGCUUUGUGCUAAAUCCCGUUAUUUUGCCCCACUUAGAGCAGACCCAUUGAACAAAUGGGACUUAAGACUUAAUGGCUCUCCUCCAGUUGCAACUAAUGAAUUUAGGCGUUUGCUUCUCAAAUUUUGCCAUUUUUGUUAAUACAGGAUAGCAACAAUAAAGUUACAGAAAAAUGACACGCUUGUCAUCAACCCACAUUGCUUAAAAUUCCACUGACACCACUACACGUUGUGUUUUUUGCACUGUCGCUCCACAAAGACAACACCAUGCCCCUUUGCAGCCUCAAAUGAACUUUGCUGGGCCCUGUUACCAUGCCCCAAGGGUGAGGCACAGCUGACUUCUGUCUUGAUGCAAGCACCCAAGUGGCCCCGUGAAGCACGUCAGUGUGAAAAGAGGGCAGUUUUCCUCUAGAGAGAGAGACCUCUCUACUUAUUGUCCACCUAGUUCAGUUGAAUAAGUAAGUUUUGUUCAGAGGUCUGCUGUAUCUUGAAAGUGUUGGGUUGGCCAAUGUUUCCAGUGAUCUGUAGCCUGUCCUGGUUCCUUGGCUGCGUGUGAGAGGAUCUGCUCCAUCUGUACGUGGAGGGUUGAUCGGCUAUCCUUCCAUACCUCUUCAUCUGAGCAUAAGCACCCAUAAGGUUAGAAAAAAGCAAAGGAACACACCACUGUUUCAUACUGUGUGCCACUUUCACAGAAAAAUGGGCUUUGUCCUGUCAGGUUAGGAAUCAGAAUGCCUCUGCGGAGGCCUUUAUUGUGUGUGUAUGAGUGUGUGUGUGUGUGUGUAGAUAGAUUAGAUAGAUCCCUUCUGUUUUGUGGGAAUUGCUGAAGUCCCAUCAGUGUUUGUUUCUCCCUCUCCCCGUCUCUCAUUCAUUCUACGUCUCAUGGAUGCAGUGGGACAGGUGGUGCUUCCCCUUUUGUAGUAGCAGCACAGCCCUUCCGCUGCUGCUACUACAGUAUUCUCUCGAGACAAGCUGGAAACAUUUUUCAAGAGAGUAAGGAUCUACACGUAAGCUCAUCUUUGUGGGAAGGGGUUAGGGGGCCAGUUGGACAGGCGGCAGCAGGGGGAAUCUAGUGAACGACAAGAGGUCACUCUUCACUGCCUUCUCUGUGGAUGUGUAUAAUAUUGAGUGUGUUCUCUUUGGCUCGCUGUCUUCUAGCUGUUAGCCAAGUAAGUGACUCUUAAUAUAUCAAUAUUGACUGUCAGAUUAAAGCUGUGUAUCACACUAAAUAAAGUUAAUUUCACCAUGA